UACGAAGGGGGCUAGCGUUGCUCGGAUUGACUGGGCGUAAAGGGCGCGUAGGCGGAUAGUACAGUCAGGCGUGAAAUUCCUGGGCUCAACCUGGGGGCUGCGUUUGAUACGUGUUGUCUGGAGUUCGGAAGAGGAGAAUGGAAUUCCCGGUGUAGCGGUGAAAUGCGCAGAUAUCGGGAAGAACACCCGUGGCGAAGGCGGUUCUCUGGGACGGUACUGACGCUGAGGCGCGAAAGCGUGGGGAGCAAACAGG
rnacentral:rRNA from 1 species